rnacentral:sRNA from 19 species
CCCUAGCCCAGAUAGAAGAGAAAAUCCUUUUUAUACCUGACAGGUUUUCGAAAACCUGCAAGGCAUAAAAAGAUUGAAACGGAUAGCUGGAUAAAGC